rnacentral:lncRNA from 1 species
UUUUAAAACUGUAAGCCAUAGAAUUUACUAUUUACACCUACUUUAGACAUUUAUUCUGCUUACAAUAUCACAGGCAUGGAAUGAAUUCUAUCUGAUAGUGCUAAUACAUAAAGGUGCGGGACAAAGAAGGAAAAUACUUAGUGUUACAAAAUAUGGAUCGUAGAAAAGAAACCCACUCCACAAGUGUGGCAUCUGUUUAGAAUGUUUGGACAUGCUUUCUUCAAAAUUUCUGGAAAAGGUUCUAAAAUUGGUAGUAGGAAAGGACAAAUGAGCAGGUGCAAAUUCUCCUCUGUGCAACAACAGUUAUUGAAUAUACCCCAUGACUGACCAGCUACAUAAAACCCACAGAGUUUUGUUAAAGUGCCAUGGGCUGACAGCAUAACAAAAUAGAAGGUGUAAAUAGAAAAUUUCUUUUUUUCCUUUUUUAAAACAAGAGUUCACUGAGAAUCAGCAAUAAUAGAAUAUGCUGUAUAAACUAUUCUCUACAAAGGUUGAUCAGCAUUAUUUACAAUUGGUACAUUGAUACAAAAGAAGGCAUACAAGUUAUCCAGGUCGCUUUUUUUUUAUGGCUGACAGGUCUAUGCAUUGCGUUACGCUUUAACAACCAGAGCUUUCGAGCCUCUAUGGCGACAAGUCACAAGAUCUUCAGGCAGAUGGGGGUGUGUGCAGUCAAGGGGCUAGGAGAGAGGGCUGAGUGGGGUGUGCAGAACAGAAGUACCCAAAGAAUAUUCCCCCAAUAAUGCUUUAUAGGCUGGUCCAGUUGAACUCCAUCCAAACAAACUGAAAGAAAACCUUUUAUUUGCAUUCCAUUUUUCAAGCUGUGAGUUUUGAAUACAUCAUUAUAAAGUAAACCUGUAGCUGACUGUGAAGGAAGAAACACCGUGGGUUUUCCCUUUUUGCUCAGUUUCCAGAAAUGUCCUCACCUUGGUCAGAGCCAGUCUUUCACCAAGUAAGCAGCAUUCAGUGGGGAGCCUCUUAAUUCCAGCUUGCAAUUCAAGAUGUAGAGAGCUAAAAUGUUUAAAAUCCAUUGAAUUGCUCCUUUAGUCCCUGUCGAGACAUUAUUUCUCAGAAGCAGCCACUUAAUCUCUCAACCUUUGUUUUCCCUCUNNNNNNNNNNNNNNNNNNNNNNNNNNNNNNNNNNNNNNNNNNNNNNNNNNNNNNNGUUUUCACUCCUGCAAGUAUUACAACUCAAAAUAAAUUAUUUAAAAAAAAAAACAACAGACUUCUAAAACUGAACGAGACAAAAAUUGUGCAAAAAUAACAAAGAUAUGUACAUACUUUUCAGUCUGAAGAAAUGUACAAUAAAAACAUAAUUCAAAGAACAUUUUAAAAAUAUAAACAUUGCUUCAACUUUCCUAAGUUUCAUAUUGUUUCUG